CCGCACAAGCGGAGGAACAUGUGGUUUAAUUCGAUGAUACGCGAGGAACCUUACCUGGGCUUAAAUGUAGAGUGCAUUUUUUAGAGAUAGAAAUCCCUUCGGGGCUUUCUGCAAGGUGCUGCAUGGUUGUCGUCAGCUCGUGCCGUGAGGUGUCGGGUUAAGUCCCAUAACGAGCGCAACCCUUAUCGUUAGUUGCCAUCUGGUAAUGCAGGGGACUCUAGCGAAACUGCCACCGUAAGGUGAGAGGAAGUGGGGAUGACGUCAAAUCAGCACGGCCCUUAUGUCCAGGGCUACACACGUGUUACAAUGGUCGGUACAGAGGGCAGCUACCUGGUGACAGGAUGCUAAUCUCGAAAACCGGUCUCAGUUCGGAUCGAAGUCUGCAACUCGACUUCGUGAAGCUGGAUUCGCUAGUAAUCGCGCAUCAGCUAUGGCGCGGUGAAUACGUUCCCGGGCCUU
rnacentral:rRNA from 1 species